UCUCAGGCGUGGCCUUCUGGAGCGCCACGGCAUUCAGCUGUUCCGUCGUGUCUUCGUGUUACAAUAAAGUUUUCCUCCCUGUACGGAGCUCAAGAUGGCGGCCUCCUGGUCGCCCUUGGUUACCCUGCGCUCCGCGGCGCGUAGCCGGCUGACUGGGAGAGGUGUUGGGUGCGGGGCGCGGGUCAUCGCAAUCUCUCCUCCGGCCCCUGGCCCUAGGAAACCCCUUUGGAAAG
rnacentral:lncRNA from 1 species